CCUACGGGGGGCAGCAGUGGGGAAUAUUGCACAAUGGGGGAAACCCUGAUGCAGCGACGCCGCGUGAGUGAAGAAGUAAUUCGUUAUGUAAAGCUCUAUCAGCAGGGAAGAAAAUGAAGGUACCUGAGUAAGAAGCCCCGGCUAACUACGGGCCAGCAGCCGCGGUAAUACGUAGGGGGCAAGCGUUAUCCGGAUUUACUGGGUGUAAAGGGAGCGUAGACGGUGCGCCAAGUCUGGAGUGAAAGGCGGAAGCUUAACCGCCGAACUGCUUUGGAAACUGGCGGACUAGAGUGCAGGAGAGGUAAGCGGAAUUCCUGGUGUAGCGGUGAAAUGCGUAGAUAUUAGGAGGAACACCGGUGGCGAAGGCGGCUUACUGGACUGUAACUGACGUUGAGGCUCGAAAGCGUGGGGAGCAAACAGGAUUAGAUACCCGUGUAGUC
rnacentral:rRNA from 1 species